CCAGAUUCACCCAUCCUGCAGCAGGCUGUGCAUCUGUGGGCUCCCCGGCCCAGGUUGGAGGAUCACUUGAGCUUGUGAGUGGGCCCGUCUCAAUCUCAGGGAACUCCCCUCCCCUUCCUCCCUCCAACAGGAAUCCUCCCAGAGCUGCCUCUGGCCAAGGAUCAACCUGGGACUGACCUGACAGCUCCUGCCCGCACACCAAACACCCGUUCAGGAACCCCACCCUUCAGCCCCUCUAUGUAGGACUGGGCUGGGACCCAGGAUCCAAGCUGCAACCUCUGAACAUCCGGCUCAUCACGUGCCAAAGAUUCUGCAGCUGGAGGCUCCAGCCCCAUAUCCCUCCCACAACGUCCCAGGGCUGGGUUUCUUCCCUCUCCCAUGUCCUUUGCUUGGGCCAGGAAUGUGCUAACGGGGCAGGUUGGGCUCUGCUGUUCUACUCAGGCACCUGUGGACUUUGAGAGGGGAAUAAGU
rnacentral:lncRNA from 1 species